UCCCUGUGUGCUACUUUCUGGCAAACAAGGACUGCUGCAUAUCACCAGUCAUCCUUCUGUGGUCGCAAGUGAUGUACCAGAUGUGCCAAUAGAAAACUGUGACCAAAAACCUUUAUCCUACCAUGCUCAGUUGUCAACAGGUCCCACGGAUCAAUAAAAGGAAGCAGAAAGGUGUGUAGGUGGUGUUGCAGAGGUGAAACUGCUCUCCUCGGCAGCAGCAGGUCUUCCUGGCUAAAAAUUGUGGUGCCUGUUGGUCUCCCUUUCCUGUCCUCUCCACCCCAACCAGUCGAGACAGAUGGCUG